CACAGACACAGGCAGCUGGGUGCUCAGACACAGACACAGGCAGCUGGGUGCUCAGACACAGACACAGGCAGCUAGGUGCUCAGACACAGACACAGGCAGCUAGGUGCUCAGACACAGACACAGGCAGCCGGGUGCUCAGACACAGACACAGGCAGCUAGGUGCUCAGACACAGACACAGGCAGCUGGGUGCUCAGACACAGACACAGGCAGCUAGGUGCUCAGACACAGACA